UCUUUUCUAUACACCCUACAACAUAGUACUCUUAGAGGAGAAAGGUAUUUUUUUGUGUGAACACAUUGAUUUUAUUCUUAGUUUUUACUGGGAACUUUAUUACUUUGCCUUUCCCUUUUGGAAAAGGUAAUAUUCACCAAGACCCAUAAGCUGGAAUUGAAGUAAUCACAAAAGAUCCUAAUUUUAGGAACAUUUGAAAUAAUCUAUUUCCUGAUUUUCCUGGAAUUCUUAUGAGAAGACCUGUGGUAUCAACUUUAUGCAAAGGGUCCAGAGUUCUAUCCACCGUGCCACCUACCUGCCUCGAUAAACUUAUUUAUGUGAAAAUAAUUACUGUGUGACUUCCAUAUGCAAAGCACCAGACAGGGUACUAUGGCUGAUAAAAUUGUGAAAAAGACUGCUUGUCUGUACAGGCAGAGAAUUGUGCUAAAAUCUUGAAUAAAAGGGACUAAAGAUC